AUUUCCAUUUAUCUUUAUUAUCCAUUAUUAUCAUUUGCAAUAACUGUUAGAUACCCGCUUUCGUAUUACAUCGAAUCUAAAUUUAAAUUUGCCUCUCCCAUGAGAAUAGAUUUGAAACUAUUCAGCUAGAAUCCGAAUUAAAUAUUCAUUCAAAUACGUGUGUGCAUCAAAAUUUCAUGCUUCUACUAAAAAUCAAAUUCACCUUUUUAACCAAAUAUUCUUCCAUAGUAAUUCUGUGUAUUAUUAGAAGUUGAUGUAAAACAGUCAGAGCGAUAACAGUGAGUAACGGGUAACACCUAAUAAAUAAUUGAAUUCCAAAUACUCCUUAUAGUGGAGACAUUGUGGCGAAUUUGGUGUUCAAUUUGAGAAAUACAGUGAAUAGGAAUUGCAAGACAAUGAAAGUGAAACAGAAAUUGAUUCAAACGGUGGAUCCAGUAGAUCAGAAGCUAGCCAAAUAUGCUCUGGAAUGUUUUCACCAAGAGAAACAAGAUGACGCUUUGUGUGUUUUAUUGCUUUUUUAUUGUUUGAUCGCUUCAUAAUAUUGAAACAUAGUCCCUAAGAAGUUGUCCAGAACCAUUGAACUGCAAAAAAAAAGAUGGAAACUCAGCAGGAGAGCAUUAUGUAUGCAACACCGAACCUAGAUCUGUACAACCUGUAAGUAUAGAUUCAAAUAAUCAUUGUAAUCACCUUAAUAGUUAUUUGUAUGCCAAGGACUGAAAGUGCUACUUUGUUUGACGAGUCUGAGAAUUGCGAGACGAGCGACGCGAGGCGAACAACAGACGAGUCCAACAAAGUAGUAUUUCAGCCGCGGCGUACACAACAUUUUUUAGACGACGCAUUAAGAACGGCCGCAUUGCUUUUUUCGGUGAAAUCAGGUGGCGUGGAUUCGAGUAACUCUUCAUCGCUGAUCAUCAUAAUUGUUAUUCAUUAAUUUAGACAAAACUUCGGAUACAACAAAUAAUUUCAGAAAAUUGAAAAUUUAAGGUUAUGCAAAAUCAUCGUGAAAUGUGAAACUGUCAACUAUCAACAUUGAACUGGUUAGCGUCACAGUUUAGGAAGUUGAAGUUGUCUACUCCAGAGCGUCCCGAAAGUGUUUUGCAGUACGGAACUGUCACUUUCACUACAUAGAACACUCAAAACGCAGCUUUCAGUUUUUAAAUAGAUACAGAACGAACAACUUUCAGAUGGCGUCGUCUAAAAGAGUAUUUUUAAACCCUCCGUUGCUCGCGCGGCAUCUACAAGACACCGGGGAACCUUCUUUUUCUGGUACUGGUAGAAAGCAAUUCAAUAGAGACUUCUCCCACUCUACAGCUUCCAAAUUUAGACUGAAGAAUAUUCAAAGCGAUUGGUCAUAGUUCAUGUACACACGUUGAACGGUUGGGAGUUAUAAUUUGAAAUCUAAGCCUCUUAGACGCUACGGGAGCGCUUCUGUUUCAAGACUGUCCAAAUUUUUAUUAAAUAUAUUUUAUUGUGAUCUGAUUGAGAUUUGUGUUUUUACAAAGGUGAGUUUUACAUAUUGGAUUUAUAAACCUCUUGAUAAAAAAUAUGUUGAGUUUUUGCAGAGGCUGGAAUUGGAAUCUGAUUAAGAAUGAUCAGUCAGACAAACGAUAGCAGUGAAGGCGGAGAAGACUACUUAGAGAAAUAAAAAGAAAAUACUGACACAGAAUAGGAAGGUUCGAAUGGAGAUGAAGAGGAAAACCAAGAUGAUUUAGAAUAUCAUGCCAAGUUUGUAUUCGGAAGAGAUGGAACAACUAAAUGGAGGUUAGAUACCCCUGCUUCGACACGUUCACAUAACUUUGUUAGUCAUUUACCUGGCUUUAAGGGCACAGGGAAGCUGGCACAGGCCGUUUCGACAUGUUGGAGUAUGUUUUUCACUGUAAAUCACACUAAUAAGUAUAUUUGUAGCAAAAUAGGAUCGUUAAGCAGAGAAAGAGAUUGCAAAAAUACAAAUUUGGAGGAAAUGGAAGCUUUUAUAGGACUUUUGUACAUGACAGGAUUUCGUAGAAACAGCAGAAUAAAUACUGGAGAUCUUUGGGCCACUAACGGUUCUGGUAUAGAACUUUUUCGAAUGACUAUUCCACUCUCUUACAAAGUGUACGUUUUGACGAUAAAGACGUCAGAAAUAAGGAGAGAGUCAUUGACAAAAUUGCUCCUAUUUGGCAAAUAUUUGAGUUCUUUUAUGGUAAAUUGUCAGAAAAGCUAUUGCGUUGGUGAAUAUGUUACAAUUGAAGCCUCGGCAUUUCGAGGCAAAUGUCCAUUUCGUCAAUAUACACCAUCCAAGUCGUCUAAGUAUGGCAUAAAGAUCUUAUCCGUGGGGGAUGCAAGAACUUAUUACACUUACAACUUGAAAAUAUACGUGGGGAGACAGCCUGAUGGCCCUUACCAAGAUGAUGAUAGUGCAAGCUCGACAACGAAAAUAUUGUGCUUACCAAUUUUUGGUUCUGCGGAAUGCCACCGAUGAUAACUCGUUUAUCAGUUAUGAACUAGUAACUGACCUCCAAAGAAAUCACAGACUUAGUUAUGUCGGAACCAUAAGAAAAAAUAAACGACAACUUCCACUGAACUUUGUGGCAGGACGUGGUCGAAAUGAAUAUACAUCAAAGUUCGCUUUUCAAGGAACUUCGACAUUGGUUUCGUACAUUCUAAAAAAGAAUAAGAAUGUUAUUCUACUUUCUAGUACGCAUCACGACUCGGACAUAGACCCUUGCAACAGGAUAAAGAGAAAGCCAGGUAACGUGUUAUUCUACAACCAAACGAAAUCGGGAGUUGACAAAUUGUGUGCGAUGUCUCUAAGAAUACCAACCGUUGGCCCAUGACAGUGUUAAAUUUAGCAGGUAUUACUAACAUUAUUAAUGAGAGAAAUAAAAUCGACGGAUCGAACAAAAGAAGACAUUUUUUAAAAAAAGUAGCCUUGGACUUAAGAACUAUAUACAGCACAGGUCAAAAACAACUUGCUUGCCUAAAGAUUUGCGAAAACGGACCAUUGAAAUAGCAGAAGAAGAAUACAAUACCAGUACCAGUAAAAGUGGCCUGCAGGCUACAAUGACAAAUCCUGAACCAAGGAACUCGGGAAAUUCACGGAAGCGAUGCUACAUUUGUGAAAAGUAAAAAAAUCGCAUGACUCAAUACAAAUUCGUAGAGUGUAAUAAGUUCAUUUGCUUGGAACAUGCAAAAAAAUUUGCGGCGUUUGUGUUGAAUAAAUGUAACGUCGCUUCUUUUUGAGCAUGUUAUUUUAAUUUCAUAACUAUUAUUUAUGACUUACUUUUUGGAAAGUUGUAGUCGUGAGCUUUACUAAUAAUUACUCACAAAAAAAUAUGCGUUUUCUAGGAAUAACUGCAGUUUAUUUUACUGAUUCAGAAUUUGAGUUCGAAUGAUCGUAUGGAUACAGAAACCUAGUACUAUUUCACAGAAGUAUAUAGUAUGGGAAACUACAAACUUCCAUCAUAUGUAGAGUUUCUUAUGGAAGAUAUCAAGUGACUACUAAAAAGUAAAUUGCGAAAUUGAUAUUAAAUAUUAAUUAGCUAUAGUUUUUCCUUACCUCUCUAUUUUUUUCUAGUUUAUUCAUGAUGUAGUACACCAAUAUUAAAGCCUGGUUUUGGCUGAACUUGGAAAUUCCAGAACCGGCUUUGAAUUUUCGAACAUAUAUCCAACAAAGUUGUUGCAUUUUUAUUUAAUUUUGAGUGAAUGAAAAAAUCUUAUCAAACAAGGAACAUCUAUAAUAAGAUAUUAAUUUGAACAAAUGUUAUGAAUUUUGACUAUUUCAAAUGUAAUGAUGAACUGUAGCGAAUUACAAUAACAAUAAAACACAGUAACUAAAAACAAGUAGCAUACAUAAAUAACAAAUAUAAUAUUUUUCUUAUUUAUUUAUACUAUUUCUAUCGAUAGGGUGAAUUUAUCCACUGUCUCUCACUUAUUCAAUUAAUUUAAUGGCAGUGAUUCACAGAAAUAUAGCGAAUUUUUGCCGUUAGUAACCAUGGAUGAAACGUGAGUCCAUCACUUCACACUCGAAACAAAAGAUUAAUCAAAACAUUGGACUGAAAGGGAGAACCAGUUCCAAAGAAGGCAAAGACCUUUUCAUCUACAGACAAGAUCAUGACGUAGAGAAAUCAAGCAAAAAUGGCUGCAUUCGACUAAGAAGAGAGUGUUGUUCCAACAAAAGAAUGCCAGGUCACAUAUCUGUUAUUGUAAUGAUCAAAAUUAAUUAAUUGAAGUUUGAAUUGCUACCUUAUGUACCCUAUUCGCCCGUUAAGCCCCCUCGGAUUAAUUUCUGUUCUCUGACUUGGGAAAAUGGCUCAGUGGUCAAGGAUUUGCCAGCUAUAAAGAGAAGAUAUCGACAAUCAAUGACUAUUCUGAGGAACUUGAAGAUUCUUUUCAUAAAAAGGUUAUCGAAAUUAUUGAACA